CGUGAGUGAUGAAGGCCUUCGGGUUGUAAAGCUCUUUUAUCAGGGAAGAAAAUGACUGUACCCGAAUAAUAAGGUCCGGCUAACUUCGUGCCAGCAGCCGCC
rnacentral:rRNA from 1 species